GACGAACGCGGCGGCGUGCCUAAUACAUGCAAGUAGAACGCACAGGAUGCACCGUAGUUUACUACACCGUAUUCUAUGAGUUGCGAACGGGUGAGUAACGCGUAGGUAACCUGCCUGGUAGCGGGGGAUAACUAUUGGAAACGAUAGCUAAUACCGCAUAAGAACAUUUACUGCAUGGUAGAUGUUUAAAAGGUGCAAAUGCAUCACUACCAGAUGGACCUGCGUUGUAUUAGCUAGUUGGUGAGGUAACGGCUCACCAAGGCAACGAUACAUAGCCGACCUGAGAGGGUGAUCGGCCACACUGGGACUGAGACACGGCCCAGACUCCUACGGGAGGCAGCAGUAGGGAAUCUUCGGCAAUGGGGGGAACCCUGACCGAGCAACGCCGCGUGAGUGAAGAAGGUUUUCGGAUCGUAAAGCUCUGUUGUUAAGGAAGAACGCGUGUGAGAGUGGAAAGUUCACACAGUGACGGUACUUAACCAGAAAGGGACGGCUAACUACGUGCCAGCAGCCGCGGUAAUACGUAGGUCCCGAGCGUUGUCCGGAUUUAUUGGGCGUAAAGCGAGCGCAGGCGGUUAGAUAAGUCUGAAGUGAAAGGCAGUGGCUCAACCAUUGUAGGCUUUGGAAACUGUUUAACUUGAGUGCAGAAGGGGAGAGUGGAAUUCCAUGUGUAGCGGUGAAAUGCGUAGAUAUAUGGAGGAACACCGGUGGCGAAAGCGGCUCUCUGGUCUGUAACUGACGCUGAGGCUCGAAAGCGUGGGGAGCGAACAGG
rnacentral:rRNA from 1 species